GAUGAACGCUGGCGGCGUGCCUAAUACAUGCAAGUCGAGCGAACAGACGAGGAGCUUGCUCCUCUGACGUUAGCGGCGGACGGGUGAGUAACACGUGGAUAACCUACCUAUAAGACUGGGAUAACUUCGGGAAACCGGAGCUAAUACCGGAUAAUAUAUUGAACCGCAUGGUUCAAUAGUGAAAGACGGUUUUGCUGUCACUUAUAGAUGGAUCCGCGCCGCAUUAGCUAGUUGGUAAGGUAACGGCUUACCAAGGCAACGAUGCGUAGCCGACCUGAGAGAGUGAUCGGCCACACUGGAACUGAGACGCGGUCCAGACUCCUACGGGAGGCAGCAGUAGGGAAUCUUCCGCAAAGGGCGAAAGCCUGACGGAGCAACGCCGCGUGAGUGAUGAAGGUCUUCGGAUCGUAAAACUCUGUUAUUAGGGAAGAACAAAUGUGUAAGUAACUAUGCACGUCUUGACGGUACCUAAUCAGAAAGCCACGGCUAACUACGUG
rnacentral:rRNA from 1 species